rnacentral:rRNA from 1 species
CAGUAGCCACGGUAAUACGAGGGGAGCUAGCGUUAUUCGGAAUUACUGGGCGUAAAGCGCACGUAGGCGGCUUUGUAAGUUAGAGGUGAAAGCCCAAAGCUCAACUCUGGAAUUGCCUUUAAGACUGCAUCGCUUGAAUCCAGGAGAGGUGAGUGGAAUUCCGAGUGUAGAGGUGAAAUUCGUAGAUAUUCGGAAGAACACCAGUGGCGAAGGCGGCUCACUGGACUGGUAUUGACGCUGAGGUGCGAAAGCGUGGGGAACAAACAGGAUUAGAUACCCCGGUAGUCCCUGUCUCUUAUAC